rnacentral:rRNA from 1 species
GACGGGGGGGGCAAGCGUUGUUCGGAAUUACUGGGCGUAAAGGGCUCGUAGGCGGCCAACUAAGUCAGACGUGAAAUCCCUCGGCUUAACCGGGGAACUGCGUCUGAUACUGGAUGGCUUGAGUUUGGGAGAGGGAUGCGGAAUUCCAGGUGUAGCGGUGAAAUGCGUAGAUAUCUGGAGGAACACCGGUGGCGAAGGCGGCAUCCUGGACCGGUAUUGACACUGAGGCGCGAAAGCCAGGGGAGCAAACGGG